rnacentral:rRNA from 1 species
UACGGAGGGGGCGAGCGUUAUUCGGAAUUAUUGGGCGUAAAGGGCGCGUAGGCGGCCUUGUAAGUCAAAGGUGAAAUCCCUCGGCUCAACUGAGGAACUGCCUUUGAAACUGCAAGCUUGAGGCCGGGGAGGGGGUAGGCGGAAUUCCCAAUGUAGCGGUGAAAUGCGUAGAUAUUGGGGAGGAACACCAGUGGCGAAGGCGGCUACCUGGAC